rnacentral:rRNA from 1 species
UACAGAGGGUGCAAGCGUUAAUCGGAGUUACUGGGCGUAAAGGGCGCGUAGGCGGUUGUUUAAGUUGGAUGUGAAAUCCCUGGGCUUAACCUAGGAACUGCAUACAAGACUGGGCGACUGGAGUACUGUAGAGGGUAGUGGAAUUUCCGGUGUAGCGGUGAAAUGCGUAGAGAUCGGAAGGAACACCAGUGGCGAAGGCGGCUACCUGGACAGAUACUGACGCUGAGGCACGAAAGCGUGGGGAGCAAACAGG